rnacentral:rRNA from 1 species
AGUGAACGCUGGCGGUAGACCUAACACAUGCAAGUCGAACGGCAGCACAGUAAGAGCUUGCUCUUACGGGUGGCGAGUGGCGGACGGGUGAGGAAUACAUCGGAAUCUACUUUUUCGUGGGGGAUAACGUAGGGAAACUUACGCUAAUACCGCAUACGACCUACGGGUGAAAGCAGGGGAUCUUCGGACCUUGCGCGAUUGAAUGAGCCGAUGUCGGAUUAGCUAGUUGGCGGGGUAAAGGCCCACCAAGGCGACGAUCCGUAGCUGGUCUGAGAGGAUGAUCAGCCACGCUGGAACUGAGACACGGUCCAGACUCCUACGGGAGGCAGCAGUGGGGAAUAUUGGACAAUGGGCGCAAGCCUGAUCCAGCCAUACCGCGUGGGUGAAGAAGGCCUUCGGGUUGUAAAGCCCUUUUGUUGGGAAAGAAAAGCAGCAGGUUAAUACCCCGCUGUUCUGACGGUACCCAAAGAAUAAGCACCGGCUAACUUCGU